GUACACGCUGUGACUAGCAUAUCAAUAAGCGGAGGAAAAGAAACUAACAAGGGAUUCCCCUAGUAACGGCGAGUGAAGCGGGAAGAGCUCAAAUUUGAAAUCUUAAAGGGUUUCCCUUUACGAAUUGUAGUUUAAAGAAGUGUUUUCUGUUGAGGUUUUGGUAAAAGUUCUUUGGAAUAGGACAUCAUAGAGGGUGAGAAUCCCGUAUUUGACCUUUACUUUCAACUUUGUGAUACACUUUCAAAGAGUCGGAUUGUUUGGGAAUGCAGUCCAAAAUGGGUGGUAAAUUUCAUCUAAAGCUAAAUAUUGGCGAGAGACCGAUAGCGAACAAGUACCGUGAGGGAAAGAUGAAAAGAACUUUGAAAAGAGAGUUAAACAGUACGUGAAAUUGUCAAAAGGGAAGCGUUUGACACCAGUGUUGUUUUUCUGAAAAUCAAUUAAAGAACUGUUUAUGCUAAGCUGUUUAGACUUUAUCAGCUAUCUGUUUAGUUUUGAGCUUUUCUUUAAUGCACUUUUCAGUUAAUAAGUCAACAUCAAUUUCUUUUGCUGUAAAAAAGCUUGAGGAAGGUGGCUUGAGAUUCGUCUUAAGUGUUUAUAGCCUCUUGCCUAUGCAGUCGGAGAGAUUGAGGUCUGCAGCGUAGAUCCUUCGGGGCUAAAUGCAUUUGUGCUAAGUUAUAGCAUUUUAUAGACAACUUGUUGACUAUGAUUUGUCUUGUAGCUUACUCGCUUAUGUUAUUUUACCUACGCUUAGGAUGUUGACUGAUAUGUAGUCGUA
rnacentral:rRNA from 1 species